rnacentral:lncRNA from 1 species
GAAAUUCUUUUUACUCUUAGAAUAUUGUUAAUAUUAGACUUCCUGUUAUAUUAUAUCUUUUGUACUUCUUACAUUUAUAUAGUGCCUAAUACUUUCCUGACUUCUUUCACAUAUACGGAUCUUUGUGAGAUGGUAGAUGCUUUAUUCUGAUAGAUCCAGUUUUCUCCUGUUGGCAAAACCAACAUUAGAUUGGUGAAAUGACAGGAUUAGAAGUGGAUGAGGAAAAUAAGGCACAGAGAGGUUAAGUAGGGUCAAAGAAACCCAAACUCACACUACAAAAUAAUGGCAUCACCACUGUCCACCUUGAUCAUCAAGGGCUUGUCCAGAUCAGAACUGGAUUUGUCUUGCUAUGUAUAUGUCUGUCAGGAAAUUUAUACCUAUUAAAUUUUCAUUUUCUCUAAGUAGUCAUGUUAUUGUACUGGUGUUUAGCUAUAACCUUCUUCAUAACAAAUAGUGUUGUGAGGAACAGUGUAGUGUGAAGUUUGUACAUUUGGGGGAUAGUUAUAAAAUGUGAACUCAUGGGAUGAGAAUGUUCAAUGAGGAAAUGACCUCAAGUAAGUGAAUUUGCAUGUUGAAACCCAUAGAGAAUAUGACACACCAAGCAGUGCCCCCAGCCAUAGAGCACUUUAGGUAUAUUAAAUGGUUAUAUGGUUAUGGUGCAAAAAUUCAUUUAGGAAAUAUGUAUUUGAGCACUUAAUAUGUCUAUUUUUGCCCUAAAGGAAAAAAAAAAACUUGUUUUAACUACAGUUACUUUCCUAGAGCAUGUUUUAGAGUAAUGUGUUUUGAUGCAUGUACAUUGUAUUUUAGGUAUGCAGAGAAACAAAUCGGAUUUAUUUACGUAAAAAUUAAAGUUAGUGGAUUUAUUACUCUUUAAAUCAUUAGUGUUUAAAGUAGUGCUAGCACAUUAGAAAACAGCCUCCUUUUGGACAAAAUGAAUUCACUGCUUUUGAUGCAGUUUCCCCCUUUAGAAUUAAAAAAAAAAAAAGAUCCAACAUAUGUUGCAUGUGUUGCUGUUGUUUGACUGUCAGUUACUGGUGUCUUUGGUAUUGUGACCUCAUCUCUCAUGAAAGCAUAAUGCUGAAGUGGCCAGCUGUGGUGGCGCACGCCUGUAAUCCCAGCACUCGGGGCUGAGGCAGGUGGAUCGCUAGUUACACAGUGUCUGAGUGGUCAGAGUUUUAUCUUCUCCCCAUCUUCAACAUGAAGACAUCUAAGUCCCACCCCACUCCCAGCCAAAAGAUUUUUUUUUCUUUCUCUCUCUUUUUGUAAAAUUUCUAUCCUUGCAACUGAAUCCAGGGCUUUGCACAUGCCAGGCAAGUGCUCUCUCACUGAGCUACAUCUCCAC